rnacentral:rRNA from 1 species
GGGUCAGUAGGUUGGUCGUGCCACCGGUACGUACUGGUCUCACUGAUUCCUCCUUCCUGAAGAACCGUAAUGCCAUUAAUUUGGUGUUGCGGGGAAACAGGACUGUUACUUUGAAAAGAUUAGAGUUUUUAAAGCAAGCUAACGCUUGAAUACAUUAGCAUGGAAUAAUGAAAUAGGACGAUCGAUCCUAUUUUGUUGGUUUCUAGGAUUGACGUA